CUGGGGUUGGAGCUCAGUGGUAGUGUGCUCCCUCACAUGUGGGAGGCGCUGGUUCAAUCCUCAGCACCAUAUA
rnacentral:tRNA from 1 species